rnacentral:rRNA from 1 species
GACGAACGCUGGCGGCGUGCCUAAUACAUGCAAGUUGAGCGAUGAAGAUUGGUGCUUGCACCAAUUUGAAGAGCAGCGAACGGGUGAGUAACGCGUGGGGAAUCUGCCUUUGAGCGGGGGACAACAUUUGGAAACGAAUGCUAAUACCGCAUAAUAACUUUAAACAUAAGUUUUAAGUUUGAAAGAUGCAAUUGCAUCACUCAAAGAUGAUCCCGCGUUGUAUUAGCUAGUUGGUGAGGUAAAGGCUCACCAAGGCGAUGAUACAUAGCCGACCUGAGAGGGUAAUCGGCCACAUUGGGACUGAGACACGGCCCAAACUCCUACGGGAGGCAGCAGUAGGGAAUCUUCGGCAAUGGACGAAAGUCUGACCGAGCAACGCCGCGUGAGUGAAGAAGGUUUUCGGAUCGUAAAACUCUGUUGGUAGAGAAGAACGUUGGUGAGAGUGGAAAGCUCAUCAAGUGACGGUAACUACCCAGAAAGGGACGGCUAACUACGUG